rnacentral:rRNA from 1 species
UACGGGGGGAGCAAGCGUUGUUCGGAUUUACUGGGCGUAAAGGGCGCGUAGGCGGUCGUGACAAGUCACUUGUGAAAUCUCCGGGCUUAACUCGGAACGGUCAAGUGAUACUGUCGGACUAGAGUACAGAAGGGGCAACUGGAAUUCUCGGUGUAGCGGUGAAAUGCGUAGAUAUCGUUUGGAACGCCAAUGGUGAAAACAGGUUGCUGGGAGUGUGCUGACGCUGAGACACGAAAACCAGGGGAGCGAACGGG